UCAGGAUGAACGCUAGCUACAGGCUUAACACAUGCAAGUCGAGGGCAGCGAGAAGAAAGCUUGCUUCGUUGUCGGCGACCGGCGCACGGGUGAGUAACGCGUAUCCAACCUUCCCCUUAGUAGAGGAUAGCCCGGCGAAAGUCGGAUUAAUACUCUAUGUUAUUCGUAGAUGACAUCUGAAGUGAAUCAAAGGUUUACCGCUAAGGGAUGGGGAUGCGUCUGAUUAGGUUGUUGGCGGGGUAACGGCCCACCAAGCCGACGAUCAGUAGGGGUUCUGAGAGGAAGGCCCCCCACAUUGGAACUGAGACACGGUCCAAACUCCUACGGGAGGCAGCAGUGAGGAAUAUUGGUCAAUGGACGGAAGUCUGAACCAGCCAAGUAGCCGUGCAGGAUGACGGCCCUAUGGGUUGUAAACUGCUUUUGUAUGGGAAUAAAGUGCGGGACGUGUCCCGUUUUGUAUGUACCAUAAGAAUAAGGACCGGCUAAUUCCGUGCCAGCCGCUGC
rnacentral:rRNA from 1 species